rnacentral:rRNA from 1 species
GAUGAACGCUGGCGGCGUGCCUAAUACAUGCAAGUCGAGCGAACGGACGAGAAGCUUGCUUUUCUGAUGUUAGCGGCGGACGGGUGAGUAACACGUGGAUAACCUACCUAUAAGACUGGGAUAACUUCGGGAAACCGGAGCUAAUACCGGAUAAUAUUUUGAACCGCAUGGUUCAAAAGUGAAAGGCGGUCUUGCUGUCACUUAUAGAUGGAUCCGCGCUGCAUUAGCUAGUUGGUAGGGUAACGGCUUACCAAGGCAACGAUGCAUAGCCGACCUGAGAGGGUGAUCGGCCACACUGGAACUGAGACACGGUCCAGACUCCUACGGGAAGCAGCAGUAGGGAAUCUUCCGCAAUGGGCGAAAGCCUGACGGAGCAACGCCGCGUGAGUGAUGAAGGUCUUCGGAUCGUAAAACUCUGUUAUUAGGGAAGAACAUAUGUGUAAGUAACUGUGCACAUCUUGACGGUACCUAAUCAGAAAGCCACGGCUAACUACGUG